UACCACACCUCCCCUCCCCACCUCAGAUCCUCGUUCCCUCCUCUCUCUCCCACUCGACUCAGAUCCAGAUCCGGAUGGUGCUCGUCGACGCGGUGGUCGUCGACGCGGGGUCCAAGCUGGGCAUGGCGCUGCCCGACCAAGCCCCCGGGCUGGUGAUGCCCUUGAAGAUGAAGACGGAGUUGGCUACGGUUCAAACAUGCACGCGAGCGUCAAAUAGGAACCACCCAGUGGCAGCACCGACAGAGGAGGAGGAGCCCUCGAGGAGGAGGGGAUGCUGCCGGAGGAGGGAGGAGGGGAUGCUGCGGAGCGGGAGCGGGUGGUAGGGCUGCGGGCGCGCGAGGACUGCCGCCUCCGCCCAGGCGCUUCGCCGGCGCCGUCAGGGCCUCCGAGGUCCGUCCCCCUCCCAAUUCUCCCACUCUGCCUGAGCCACCCAUUCGACCUUCAAAUCCAGCAGCAUUAGGCGCUGGCGCGUUGCCAGCUCCAGCAGAGAGCUGCUGCGCGGUUGAUCUGAUUCUCACCUAGGCUUGGUCAGUCUCUCCAACUCCAAGUUGUGCCUUGCGCACAUGCGAGCGGGGUCUUGUUUUGGAGAAUUUGUGCCAUGGAAUGUUCAGUUAAUAUUCAGUACCCUCUUGUAGAAAUGCCGAAGGCAGGACUUUGUGCACUCGCUGGGCAUCCAGAAGAGGAGGCUGCAGAAGCACAAAGGUGCUGUCAACACCAUAAGCUUCAACAGUAGCGGGAGCUUGCUCCUGUCUGCCUCGGACGAUGAUUUCUCUCUGAACUCCAACAAUGGCGCUCGCGGUGCCACCUGACAUGUUCAGUCUCAUCAUGCCUGGCUACUUGACAAGGAGAAGAAGGAGCACGCCCAGGAGAAGAAGGAGCAAGCUAAGGAGAAAAACAACGAGCAGGAGAAGAGGGGAGCAAGCCCAACUUAAACUAUUGUUGUUUAUGUUGUUACACGCUUGUUGAUCCGUGAGACUCCACGGCUGCUCCGCAUCGUCCACACAUAGGACAAGGGCGUCAUGGCCAACCAAGGCGCAUGGUGCUCGCAAACGACGAGCAGAGGUUGUUUGACAUCGGCACGGAGGAGGAGGACGGGCACGGACGGAGGACAGAGCACCUCUCUUCUUCCAGGUUCUUCUCCUUAUCUUCACUUAAUGUAUGUGCCUGUGCUGCAGCUCACCCAUGGUCUUGUUUGUCUUGCAGGUUAGUGAGCAGCUUCAGGAGGAGCUCAAGCACGACCACCAAGAGGCACCACCGCAGCAACAGGGCGACUGUGGAAGGCAUGUUGUAUUUUUGUCAGCCCAGUCCUGACUAUGUCUGUCCGUGAGUCCGACAUUUGAUCGUUGUUGAAGGAGCUCCAUGCUGUAGAGCUUGUAACAUUACUUGGAGAGCUUGUAAAGUACUGUAGAGCUUUGCAUUUGUAGAGCUUGUAAAGCAUUGUAUAUGCUAGAGCUUGUAUUACGUGUCAUUUGUAGAGCUUUUAGUGAAUCUGGCUAUUGUUAUUUGAAUAAUUAUGUGUGUUUUCUGCUUGCCUA